GCUUCACGACGUGUCGAUGACGAUUUACUCUGUGUACAUUACCAACCGGUCCGGGUGCCUGAUCUUUCAAAAGGAUUCCUACGAAGGAAAAAAGCAAGAAGAUGCGAACGAGCACAUUCGAAUAUGCUCUAUGUUCUUCGCGUUUGACAUUCUCUCUCAGAGUAUCUCUCCUGUUUUAGAGCACGGGGAACUCAUAUCGGUUGACUCGAGUCACUACACGUUGCGCUGUAUGCACACGCCGACAGGAGCGAAAUUCUUCGCGCUCGGAGACCCUCAAGAACUCAACUUGGAGAACUUUUUGAGGAGAGUCUACAGGCUGUACUGUGACUACGUGCUUAAGAAUCCGUGUCACUGGGAGAUCAAUCAACCUGCGCACAACACCUGCGAGAAGUUCGUCGAUGCCGUAGAAUCUCUUAUGAUGAGCUAUUCCAAAGACCGUUGAACGCAUGUACAUACACAAAAGAUGUGCUCGCAAGUAAGCAACGUUAUUUCUUCGCCUAUUUGACGUUCUUUUUCUUUUUUUCUUCGAAAGACACUGUUCGCCUGAGGCGAAUUUUGACGCGUAAUUUUUCAAGGGCACGGGCGGUUGCGUCACUUUACCGAACUGUCGACGUUUGUGUUCUCUCCGGACGGCAAUUGCCUCUCGACGCGCGCAGACAUUUUUGGGCGUUCGAACGCGAUACUCAAAAAAAAAAAUUUAUUUGUGUACUGAAGGCUCUAUGUUUACCGAGGGAUUUGAGUUCAGGGAUUGGAGCAACGCUCGCAUCAAAAAGCCUCCCGGAGAUGUUUCGUUUGGUGUUGUACGGUGCGCAUUUUCAGGGGCCAUCUGAAUUGAAGACAUAUCGCCAAACCACUUUUUUCGAUCACGGAUUUAGGGAUCUCAAGAGAACGAGCAUACCAUAGACCAAGCCCAGCUGAAGACCAAGAAAUCCUGGGAAAUCGCUCGUCACCUCUCGCCCAUCUUUGCUACGGGUUUCUUGUGCUGGAUGAUCCCAGACCAGCCGACGAUCAUCGUGCUGAGUGUGAUCAUCAUAACGCUUUUGAAGCAUGCAAGGUCCCUGGUUUCCGUCAACCAAAUUUUUGCGCCGUUUGAGGACAAAAACGUCUCGCUCAUUUUGCAAAAGCUGGUCUAUUGCGCGAUUUAUCUGUGCUCGCUGAGCAUGCUCGUGUGGAAGUUGAACAAGUUCGGGCUCCUCCCGGUCACAGAGGCCGACAGACUCCCGUCAUAUAGAGUUGAACUGCCGACGGAAAGAGCGAGUGGAGGUGCGCUGUGGGAAUAAAGGAAAGUGUCUCAAAAAG